CCUACGGGAGGCAGCAGUGGGGGAUAUUGCACAAUGGGGGAAACCCUGAUGCAGCGACGCCGCGUGGGUGAAGAAGCGCCUCGGCGCGUAAAGCCCUGUCAGCAGGGAAGAAAAUGACGGUACCUGAAGAAGAAGCCCCGGCUAACUACGUGCCAGCAGCCGCGGGAAUACGUAGGGGGCACGCGUUAGCCGGAUUUACGGGGUGUAAAGGGGGCGCAGACGGCGAUGCAAGCCAGGAGUGAAAGCCCGGGGCCCAACCCCGGGACUGGUCUUGGAACUGGGUGGCUAGAGUGCAGGAGGGGCAGGCGGAAUGCCUGGUGUAGCGGUGAAAUGCGUAGAUAUCAGGAGGAACACCGGUGGCGAAGGCGGCCUGCUGGACUGCAACUGACGUUGAGGCCCGAAAGCGUGGGGAGCAAACAGGAUUAGAUACCCGGGUAGUC
rnacentral:rRNA from 1 species